rnacentral:rRNA from 1 species
CAAGCGAANGGAUUAAGAGCUUGCUCUUAUGAAGUUAGCGGCGGACGGGUGAGUAACACGUGGGUAACCUGCCCAUAAGACUGGGAUAACUCCGGGAAACCGGGGCUAAUACCGGAUAACAUUUUGAACCGCAUGGUUCGAAAUUGAAAGGCGGCUUCGGCUGUCACUUAUGGAUGGACCCGCGUCGCAUUAGCUAGUUGGUGAGGUAACGGCUCACCAAGGCAACGAUGCGUANCCGACCUGAGAGGGUGAUCGGCCACACUGGGACUGANACACGGCCCAGACUCCUACGGGAGGCAGCAGUAGGGAAUCUUCCGCAAUGGACGAAAGUCUGACGGAGCAACGCCGCGUGAGUGAUGAAGGCUUUCGGGUCGUAAAACUCUGUUGUUAAGGAAGAACAAGUGCUAGUUGAAUAAGCUGGCACCUUGACGGUACCUAACCANAAAGCCACGGCUAACUAC